rnacentral:rRNA from 1 species
UCUGAAUCUGCGUACGGCUCCGCACCCCAGUUGUAAAACAAAGCAAGCUAGUCCAUGGCCUGGCCCUCACGGGUUGGGCUGUGGACGAUACGGAUAAACCUGGUAAUUAUGAGGCUAAUACGAGACUGCAAUCCCUGGCUAACCGCAAGGAAGGCUGUAUGGUUUGUAAUUAAUUUCGCCAGGAAUAACCGGGAAGGGGUACACGCUCUGACCACGACAAAGACAGUUCCGGCAAAUCCUCGGACGAGUUGGUUCUGAGUGGCUCUUGCGAGGUGCUUCUGACCUAUCAACUAGAUGGCAGCGUAACGGACAUGCCAUGGU